ensembl:snoRNA
UGGAUCAUUGAUGACCAGAAAGAAAUCAUCUGGGAGUCCUCUGAGACAUCCAUGAUGACCACAACAUUGGGAGUCUGAGGUCCAC